UGGGGAAUCUUGCGCAAUGGCCUAACGGCUGACGCAGCGACGCCGCGUGUGGGAUGAAGCUCUUCGGAGUGUAAACCACUGUUGCCCGGGACGAAUAGCUCGAUUAAUCGAGCCUGACGGUACCGGGUGAGGAAGCACCGGCUAACUCCGUGCCAGCAGCCGCGGUAAUACGGGGGUGCGAGCGUUGUCCGGAAUCACUGGGCGUAAAGGGCGCGUAGGUGGUUUGUUAAGUUGGAUGUGAAAUCCCCGGGCUCAACCUGGGAACUGCCUUUGAUACUGCAAGUCUUGAGGAUGAGAGAGGUAAGUGGAACUGCGAGUGUAGAGGUGAAAUUUCGUUAGAUAUUCGGAGGAACACCAGUGGCGAAGGCGGCUCACUGGCUCGAUACUGACGCUGAGGUGCGAAAGCGUGGGGAGCAAACA
rnacentral:rRNA from 1 species